rnacentral:lncRNA from 12 species
CCCGCCCUCACCCCUGCCUGCGGUGGGGACGGGCCUGGGGGGCGGCCCCAGGCGCUGGAGCUCAGCUGCCCCCUCCCACAGGGCCUGGGGGGCGCCUGCUCUGUGGUGCAUCCCGUUUGCUCAACCAUUUAGCACAGGUUGACCUGUUCCCCCUCUGUGCCAGGUGCUGCAUACUGGGGGACUCGGGGCUGAGUGGGACCCCGUCCCUGCCCCGAGCCCCCCCACCCCCGCCCGACCUAAACAAACCAUCGUUCUUGAAAGUGACAAGUGCAGGGACAAAGUCAUGCACAGAGGGCCGACCUCCUCGGAGGAGGGGACCAGCGUAUUCAGGGGCAGGAAGGCUGCAGGCAAGGGGAGACCUGGCGCAGAGUCCUUGCUGCGUUCCUCACGAUGCGCAAGGCAAACUACCAGACCCAAAGGAAUCCCCCCGCCCCACACAACUCCUGCGCGAUUUACCACUAUCUGUACUACUGGAGGCAAGCUCACUGAUGGAGCUCAGAGCCCACUGAAGCACGUAUGCUCUUGCUCUGGUUGUCAGAUGUACCCCCAGGCCCCUGUUUAUGCUCUAGAUCUCCCCGGGGGUGGGCUCCGUUGGGAGAGCAGUGCCUAGGAGGACACGCCCUGGCUUUACGUCCUCUUGGAUGCCUGGAUGCCACGCAGAACCAGGGCAGAUACCCAGCCAUAUAAGCUUGCCAAAGUGGUGUCCUUAUUUCCCAUGUACAGAUGGGGACACUGAGGUCCUGGGAGAUUAAGUUGCACACUGGGUAGCCACAUUUGGGACUGAAGCCACAGCUGAUCCCUGCAAAGUAUGCUUUUUUUUUUUUCAAUCUCGGGUGCAGAAAGUUGAGUUAAUCGUAACAUCUCAUUCAGGCAGGGUAUUCACGGGAGGUCUGCCUCCUACCUUGUUAUUACUAAGAAAUUAAUACGUGCCAACUCUUCUCAGGGCCCCAUGGUGCACCAGGCUUGGUGACAGGACCCCCUGCCAGAGGACCCACAGUUGACUCAGUGACAGUUCCUGUCCUUGGGGAGCACGUGGGCUCCUGGCAGCCAGCUCCUGGACAAAGAGCAUCCACUUUCCUGUCCUGACGUGAUUAGAGGAAUUUAUCUUAAGGAAAAUAAGGUCAAAGGUCUAUAAAUGUGUUUGUAUCAGAAGGAUAAAAAAAAGUAUGCCUUUCAAUGAGGAAUAAAUGCAUUAUCAUACAUCA